AUGUCCAAGGAUUUGUUCAUCCACAUUUGCAAUUUCGUGAAGCAACAUGACUGGGCCUUUCAGCAGAGGAGGAAUUGUGCUGGUUUGCUUGGACAUAGCACCGAGCAGAAGAUUACUACCACUUUGCGCAUGAUGGCCUAUGGUAUUCCGGCAAACUACAUUGAUGGCAAUUUGGCGAUGGCAGAGAGCACUUCUAUCUUUUAUGUCAAACAAUUUGCAAAGACUAUGGUAGAAGUAUUUUGUCCAGAGUACUUGAGAGUACCCAAUGCUAAAGACACUCAGAGGCUUUUGGAAAUGAACAAAGCCCGUCGGUUUUGGGUCUAUCGAUUCCAUGCACAGGAAAUGAAAGAAUUGUCUUAA
rnacentral:rRNA from 1 species